GACGAACCGUGCGAACGUUGUUCGGAAUAACUGGGCUUAAAGGGCGCGUAGGCGGGCUGUCCAGUCUGGGGUGAAAUCCCGCGGCUCAACCGUGGAACUGCCUUAGAUACUGACGGCCUCGAGGGAGGUAGGGGCGUGCGGAACUGUAGGUGGAGCGGUGAAAUGCGUUGAUAUCUACAGGAACUCCGGUGGCGAAGGCGGCGCGCUGGACCUCUUCUGACGCUGAGGUGCGAAAGCGUGGGGAGCAAACAGG
rnacentral:rRNA from 1 species